GUUUUUAGCAUUUGAUACUAUCACAUAGCAAGAAAAAAAACUCUAGAAAAGAGGAUAAGAAGAAGAUCAAGGAAAGACAUCAAGCAUUGAUCGCGAUCCAGGCUUCGUUCAGAUUCAGCAGGCUGAAUUUUGGAGAACAAAAAUUUAGAUUAAAGAGGGCUGUUCUAGGAUAAUCCUGAGUAGAUACUCAUAGAGGUUGGAUA
rnacentral:lncRNA from 1 species